rnacentral:rRNA from 1 species
UGAGUAACACGUAUGCAACCAACCCAUAACGAGGGGGAGUAACCCGGAGAAAGUCCAGACUAAUACCGCAUAAGACCACGAUAUCGCAUGAUAUAGAGGUCAAAUAUUUAUAGGUUAUGGACGGGCAUGCGUCUGAUUAGCUGGUUGGCGGGGUAACGGCCCACCAAGGCAUCGAUCAGUAGGGGUUCUGAGAGGAAGGUCCCCACAUUGGAACUGAGACACGGUCCAAACUCCUACGGGAGGCAGCAGUGAGGAAUAUUGGUCAAUGGGCGAAAGCCUGAACCAGCCAUGUCGCGUGAAGGAAUGAAGGUCCUAUGGAUUGUAAACUUCUUUUGCAGGAGGGUAAAGUGAGCUACGUGUAGUUCAUUGCAAGUACCCUGCGAAUAAGCAUCGGCUAACUCCGUGCCAGCAGCCGC